AUUAAAUGAUGAUCAAUUUCAGUUCUGCUUCUGAAAUAAUUUGAAGAAAUCUUUACCCACAAUCCUGACAA